AACGAACGCUGGCGGCAUGCCUAACACAUGCAAGUCGAACGAGACCUUCGGGUCUAGUGGCGCACGGGUGCGUAACGCGUGGGAACCUGCCUUUAGGUUCGGAAUAACUCAGAGAAAUUUGAGCUAAUACCGGAUGAUGUCUUCGGACCAAAGAUUUAUCGCCUUUAGAUGGGCCCGCGUUGGAUUAGCUGGUUGGUGGGGUAAAGGCCUACCAAGGCGACGAUCCAUAGCUGGUCUGAGAGGAUGAUCAGCCACACUGGGACUGAGACACGGCCCAGACUCCUACGGGAGGCAGCAGUGGGGAAUAUUGGACAAUGGGCGAAAGCCUGAUCCAGCAAUGCCGCGUGAGUGAUGAAGGCCUUAGGGUUGUAAAGCUCUUUUACCCGAGAUGAUAAUGACAGUAUCGGGAGAAUAAGCACCGGCUAACUCCGUG
rnacentral:rRNA from 1 species